UGAACGCUGGCGGCGUGCCUAACACAUGCAAGUCGAACGGGACUAUUCAGAUCUUUCGGAGUGAUGAUCUAGUUAGUGGCGGACGGGUGAGUAACGCGUGGACAACCUGCCUCUCACUGGGGGAUAGCAGCUGGAAACGGCUGGUAAUACCGCAUGCGUUCAAUGUGCCGCAUGACACAUUGAAGAAAGAUUUAUCGGUGAGAGAUGGGUCCGCGUCUGAUUAGCCAGUUGGCGGGGUAACGGCCCACCAAAGCGACGAUCAGUAGCCGGCCUGAGAGGGCGGACGGCCACAUUGGGACUGAGACACGGCCCAGACUCCUACGGGAGGCAGCAGUGGGGGAUAUUGCACAAUGGGCGCAAGCCUGAUGCAGCGAACCGCCGCGUGAGUGAAGAAGUAUUUCGGUAUGUAAAGCUCUAUCAGCAGGGAAGAAAGGCCCGCAAGGGAGAUGACGGUACCUGACUAAGAAGCCCCGGCUAACUACGUGCCAGCCGCCGC
rnacentral:rRNA from 1 species